AGGGAUAUAGUUAAGUAUAACAUUUGGUUUGCAUCCGAAAAGUAUUGAAUAAUUCAAUUAUCCUUA
rnacentral:tRNA from 1 species